rnacentral:snRNA from 1 species
CUUGCUUCAGCAGUACAUACUAAAAUUGGAAUAAUACAGAGAAGAUUAACGUGGCCCUUGUACAAGGAUAACAUGAAAGUGUGUGAAGUGUUCCAUAUAUAU